rnacentral:rRNA from 1 species
GACGAACGCUGGCGGCGUGCCUAAUACAUGCAAGUCGAACGCUGCUUAAGAAGAAACUUCGGUUUUUUCUUAAGCGGAGUGGCGGACGGGUGAGUAACACGUGGGGAACCUAUCCAUCAGCGGGGGAUAACACUUGGAAACAGGUGCUAAUACCGCAUACGGCUUUUUUUCACCUGAAAGAAAGCUCAAAGGCGCUUUACAGCGUCACUGAUGGCUGGCCCCGCGGUGCAUUAGCCAGUUGGUGAGGUAACGGCUCACCAAAGCAACGAUGCAUAGCCGACCUGAGAGGGUGAUCGGCCACACUGGGACUGAGACACGGCCCAGACUCCUACGGGAGGCAGCAGUAGGGAAUCUUCGGCAAUGGACGCAAGUCUGACCGAGCAACGCCGCGUGAGUGAAGAAGGUUUUCGGAUCGUAAAGCUCUGUUGUCAGCAAAGAACAGGAGAAAGAGGAAAUGCUUUUUCUAUGACGGUAGCUGACCGGAAAGCCACGGCUAACUACGUGCCAGCAGCCGCGGUAAUACGUAGGUGGCAAGCGUUGUCCGGAUUUAUUGGGCGUAAAGCGAGCGCAGGCGGUGAUUUAAGUCUGAUGUGAAAGCCCCCAGCUCAACUGGGGAGGGUCAUUGGAAACUGGAUCACUUGAGUGCAGAAGAGGAGAGUGGAAUUCCAUGUGUAGCGGUGAAAUGCGUAGAUAUAUGGAGGAACACCAGUGGCGAAGGCGGCUCUCUGGUCUGUAACUGACGCUGAGGCUCGAAAGCGUGGGUAGCAAACAGGAUUAGAUACCCUGGUAGUCCACGCCGUAAACGAUGAGUGCUAAGUGUUGGAGGGUUUCCGCCCUUCAGUGCUGCAGUUAACGCGUUAAGCACUCCGCCUGGGGAGUACGACCGCAAGGUUGAAACUCAAAGGAAUUGACGGGGGCCCGCACAAG